rnacentral:tRNA from 1 species
GCUUUCGUGGUGUAGUGGUCAGCACGCUCGACGUGUUUUCGAGUGGUCCGUGGUUCGAGUCCCGGCGAGGGCA